AUUGAACGCUGGCGGCAGGCUUAACACAUGCAAGUCGAGCGGUAACAGAGAGAAGCUUGCUUCUCUGCUGACGAGCGGCGGACGGGUGAGUAAUGCCUAGGAAUCUGCCUAGUAGUGGGGGAUAACUUGCCGAAAGGUAAGCUAAUACCGCAUACGUCCUACGGGAGAAAGGAGGGGACCUUCGGGCCUUUCGCUAUUAGAUGAGCCUAGGUCGGAUUAGUUAGUUGGUGAGGUAAUGGCUCACCAAGACCGCGAUCCGUAACUGGUCUGAGAGGAUGAUCAGUCACACUGGAACUGGGACACGGUCCAGGCUCCUACGGGAGGCAGCAGUGGAGAAUAAUGGACAAUGGGGGGAACCCUGAUUCAACCAUGCCGCGUGUGUGAAGAAGGUCUUAGGAUUGUAAAGCACUUUAAGUUGGGAGGAAGAGCAGUUAACUAAUAUUUGACUGUUUUGACGUUACCGACAGAAUAAGCACCGGCUAACUUCGUGCCAGCCGCCGCGGUAA
rnacentral:rRNA from 1 species